GAACGCUGGCGGCAUGCCUUACACAUGCAAGUCGAACGGCAGCGGGGGGGGCUUGCUCCCUGACGGCGAGUGGCGGACGGGUGAGUAACACGUAGGAAUCUACCUUAAUUAUAAUAGUUAGUGGGGGAUAACCCGGGGAAACUCGGGCUAAUACCGCAUAAUCUCUUCAAAGCAAAGCGGGGGAUCUUCGGACCUCGUGCUAUGAGAUGAGCCUGCGUCGGAUUAGCUAGUUGGUAGGGUAAUGGCCUACCAAGGCGACGAUCCGUAGCUGGUCUGAGAGGACGAUCAGCCACACUGGGACUGAGACACGGCC
rnacentral:rRNA from 1 species